ensembl:ncRNA C30G12.10 ncRNA
CACUCUCUGUCACUAAUUUCAAAAUGAUUCACAUGCCAAUUCAUGCAUCCUCAAGCCUUGAGCUUCAUGCCUCCACCACAUCCAGAAGACUUCGACGUCUUCAGAAUCUAACGAUUGUGCGCAAAUUUGACUGAUUCCAUUGUGCAGUCAAAUUCUCAAGUUCUGAAUAUUUUGUACAUUCACUCUGUAAAAAUUUAUUCACUUGCCACAACUCGGAUUCUACCUCAAUUACUAUUAUGGGUUCAACACUUUAAUAGCCGAUCUCAAUCUUCAAUUGAACAUUUCAUGCUUUAUACAACACCAUAAAUGAUCUUUAAUUAAUUUAUUUGUAUUUUUAUUUCUUUAAUAUUUAUUUAUUUGAGUGCAAGUUAGCACUGGAAAUAAACAG